CCCUGAGGGGACCCGCCCGCGCUCCGCUCCCUCACAACCCGGGGGAAACAACCGCGACACAGGCGUGGCUAUAACGGUAAAAAUUUAUAUUAUUUAUUUAUUAUUACCGUCGCCCCCUGGCGGCCGGAGGAGCGUACUCCCCUCCCUCCCCCUCAGCCCUGAGGGGACCCGCCCGCGCUCCGCUCCCUCACAACCCGGGGGAAACAACCGCGACACAGGCGUGGCUAUAACGGGCCCCACCCAGUCUUAAGGACCAGCACUGGUGCCUGUUACCACAGGCUACCAACAACAAAAGCUGAGGAAUCAUUACCAGAAUGAUGGAGCAAUGUGGGGUUCUGAAGGAACUUCAACAAAGGUAAAAGGGACCAACACCACUCACUAGUGUAAGAAUUUGACUGUGCCAAGUUGUUUCCCUUUCAAAGGAAGGACAAAACAACUACAGAAAUCCCUGAACAAAACGUUCCACCCAGGAUACACGGGUGAACUGGAAUUUUAACACCUAGGCCUGCAGCAACCUGCCAUGACCGUGACUCCCCCAAGGAACUCACAUCAAGGAUGGGCCCGUUGCAGUAGUAGCAGCGAGGAGAGAAGAGGUUGUGGUAGUCCUUCUCACAGUAGGGCUGCCCAUCCCGCUCAAAGAAGUUCCGAGACCCGAUCUCCUCCUGGCAGUGGGUGCAGACGAAGUGCUCAGGGUGCCAGGUCUUCCCCAUGGCUGUAACUACCUGUUGGGAAAACAGACUUUGGAGAACAACUCUAUCUCUCCCUCCCCUAGACCACAUGACAAGAUACCAGCUGGAGGUCAGCAAGAAUGACAAGUUCUACUACUCAAGUGAGCCCUGGACUGGGGUAGCAUGAAAACUGAAUUACCUAUCAUCUCAGGAGAGGGCAGUCCCUCAGGGGCAGGGUAGAGGUCACUGGAGGAGCUUACAGCGUACCUAGCCAGUGGAUAAAUAGAGUACUUCAGUUUCUCCAGCAUCUCCAGUCUCUCCAGCCUCACGAAAUAGCCCUCCCCGUUACUCCCAGCUGCAGCCCAAGGUUCAGCAAUGAGGCAGCACCUUCAACUCACCUGCCCAGCAAUAGGCUUCUUGCAGGCUCCACAGACACCUUUGGCAACUGUAGCUACACCCAGUUUAUUCAGGUCAGACUGAAGACUCCCCAGCAUGGUAUCCAGCUGACUGCCAGGCUUGGAGGCUGUGGAUGGAGGGGAGCUGCUCCCGGCUUUUCCCUGCGCCAUGAACUGCAGCCCCAGAACUGUGACAUGGCUCAGUGCCUAGGGCUACACAUGCUGUGCACCCACUGAUGCCUCAUUUGUGCUGCUGAGCUGAGGAGUGAGCUUUUGACAGACUCCUGACUAUAAAACUGAAGGUAAGCCAACUCUGUAUGCUACAGAAGCCAUCAUGUGAGCUCAGACCUUCCACCAGAUCCCUCAGAUGGGCAGGAGGGCUAUUAAUGUGUGGGUGUGCUGAAAACCCAUGAAUGUCACCACUAGAUCCUUGCUGCCCACACCAUGUUCUUGCAAAGGAAUGCAUUUCUGCGACACCCAGAGCUGCAGUGGUGUUUCUGUCUGCAGGGUGAGGCUGCUGGGGCGCUGAGCAUCACGUGCACUCAGCAGGCUCCUGUGUAGGCCAGCAGCUGCAAGGCUCUCAAGGGCACAAGGACACUGCAGGAGAACCAGCUGACCACUCUGCAGCUUGACACCAACAGCCCCUGGGAGUCACAGCCCCAUUCCUUGAGGGGGCACCUCAGAUCCACCUCUUGACAUCUUGGAUGCAGCAGGCUGGGAAAUCCUUUGGCUGCUGGCUCUGUUCACAUCACCAGGCUGGCAGGGAGGUAACCUAAUCUUAACCAGUUCCACAGGGCAUGGGAUCACCAACUCAGCCUGCUGGCUGAGAGACACUGCGAGUGCUUUAAAGAUUGAGUCAGCACAGUUUCCUGGAUGAAACAAUACAAAUCCACAGCACUCCCUGGCCUACAGUCCAAGCUGUGUGAAGGAACCACAAAUGAUUUUCCCGUAGGACCAGAAUUUUUCCACUUAGCUCUCUGAACACUAAACUAGACUCCAGCUUAAACUGAGUGAGAGAAAUGAACCACCACCUACAAAAAAGAAACACAUAGUUAUUCUGCCCUUCUCAACUUCCUGAUCAAAACUUCCGUCCCCUUUCCACUGUCUCAGAACAGUUCAUGGCUGAGAUAAUGGAAGUCCCACAAGGUACAUAACUGCUUUUGUGGUCAGAGAUAAAUAUUCCUCAAUAUGUCACAAAUGUGCUGAGCAUCCUCACACUGAAAGUGAUUUGUACUUCAAGUCCCUUCUCCUGUCAGAAGGGAAAAUGCUCCAGAGCAACAAAAUAUGGUUUGAAAAUGGUUUUUGGACAAAAAGCUGCUAAACCAAGUGUAGCCUUUUGAAGUUUUUCAAAUUAACCUCAGCUGUCCACUCCACUGCCUUGCCUAGCACAUUCAAAAGCUGGCAACAGAAACACCAGGAAGAACAAACUGGCACUGGAGAGCUAAGGACAGCACGGAGGAAAGCAAGGCCAUACAAACCCAGCAAGGGGGGCUGUUGUAUUUUGCACCUAUUGCCUCCAAAAGGAGCACUCAAACUAAGCUCAGCACUGUGACAGCUGCUUUCAGAGGCUGCUCCCUCCCAGGGGUGUGUCCUCCCAUUUAUUUCUCAUUUCCAGAAGUGCUAGAUCAGGGCGUGGGAAGGGAGACAAGGGUUAUUUCCUGCCACAUACAGCAUCUUCUUUUUUAUAGCAUGGUUUUCUCCACACCUGAAGUGAAAAGAAACAUCUUAUAUUUACUUCCCUCUGUUUAUAGUGGUGAGCAGCAAACAGCUCAUGCCAAGAAAAAACACCUUAUACUAAGGCUGGCUCCUGAAAAUUGAAUUCAUGUUCCAUGUUCCUUACCAAACAAAUAAAUAUGUUCAGUUUCACAGCUACCAAAGGCUCCUGAGAAUGCCAGAUCCAGCUACACAAGCCUUGAAUGCCUCCAGAGAUUCAUGGUUGUGUGAAGCUAAAAUAGAAAAUAAUCCUUUCUGUGAUUCCUUUCUACCUAGAUUCACUGGGCUGUCAGAGCCAUGAAUAACAGGAAACCAUUUCCAAAGCUGCAUAAGCACAAAAAAUUCUUCCACUGCUCCAUGAACAAUCUUUGGGAGAAUGAGGAAAAGUUUGUCAAGGGUUUGCACAUCACAGCUGUGGCACAUCGUGUGACACAGCACAUGCAAAAGCUGAUCUAACCUCAAAGUUUGCACAAUGCUGAAGAGCAAAGCUGGGCUCUGCUUCACUGGACAGAGAAUUGGAGAUUGCACAAGAGAAGGAUCACAAGGUGAUACGUAAAAUGUAACAGCCUUACCCAGUACUCCAGCUCCCAGCCUCCGGGGAUUCAGAGUGCUGUGAUUAAGUACCACUGCCCUCAGAUGAUGCUCCCACCCACAAGUUACAGCACUUAUCACAUGGAGGCCUUUUUCAGUCACAGCUGUCACAGUUCCACACCCUAAAUCUCCACGUAUUCCAUUUUGUAUGGGUAGAACUGGCUGUGGUCUGCAGCCACUGCACCUGAAUCCCAACAAGGCUCACAAAUCAGAAUCCUCACCCUAACAUUCACACUUCCUUGACAGCACAAAAGAAAUGUGCCUUUCAGAAAUGGACAACUGAGAUGCAGCCCUGAACAGCCCAACAUAACAGGGCAAGUCCAUAUUAUAUCAGAAUAGAAAGCAAAUCUAACUCUCAGGCCUAUACUAAAAAUAUUUAAGUUGGAAUUUCUUAGCCUGAAUCUGCAGUCUGCUAUGAGCUCCACCUGCCACCAAGUCUGUUGUCAGAAUCCUCUCCUUUGGGAAGCAAACUGACUGGUGUUCAACAGGCAGUUAUACCUAGCCCUGUAAAAGAUCACAAGGAACAAAUAUCUGCACAAAUUAGAGAGUCUGCAUUUCUCUCCCUGUGUGUCAGCUGUGAAAUUGGAAACAGCUUUGGACUGCAAGGAGGGUAAGUACAGCCUCUGACAGUCUUCUCCUGGAGUGGCUCUUAUGCAAGAUCUAUUUCUGAUCUCUGCCUGACAGCAAACACAUCCUCAGGCAUUUCCAGGAAGUCCCAGACAAAGGCAGCAGCAAAUGGCCAGUCCUGACCCAACUGGCUCGGGGAGGGAGGCUGGCUCAGACUACAGCAAGGGACAUUGCUCUGGACAAACAGGAAUGAAAUGGCAUCCUGGCCAGUUUGGUGGGAGGAACAGACUGGAGGGAGUGUAAACAUUUUACACAAACAACUAAGCAGUUAACACCUCACUACUGACCUGGGCUGGAUUUUAGCCAACAUUCUAGAAGGGGAAAAAAAUCUUAAUAAACCCAAAACCACUAGUAACCAACACACUGGUUUUUUUAGUCCUUUAUUUAUCCUUACACAUGCAAAAUACUAAGUUAACCCUUCUUGUACAUAAUUUUCACUUGCUGCUGGCUUUCCUCUGAAAAGGAAAGUCCAACAGGAUCUGGUCUCCUCUGCCAAAAAAAAAAAAAAGAAAA